CUCGGGCAGUGAUGGCACUGGGAAUCCUGCAGCCAUGAGCACUGCCUGCGCAGGGCAGGGACGCAGGAGGGGGGCACAGGGCAUGGAUCUCAUGGAGCUUUCUGCUUUUUUCCCCGCUUCUCAGUGCGUGUUCAAGAGUGGGAGCAUGGGAGGAAGGCGAGUGCUGCUGCGCAUCGAGGAUCAGUGCUACCAUCAACCAUUUGGUCAUGGGAGAAGAGAAAAUACAUGAAAGAAAAAAGCCAGAACACAGGAGCCGUUCUGCUGAACCACUCACUGAGGAAACUGGAACACCUCGUACCACGCUGAUUCUGUUGGCGAUGCUGAAGUGAGACGCUACCAACAACGAUGAAUUCCUACAGCUGAGCACAACCUGUACUUACCCGUCCCACCUCCUGCAGCACGGAUUUUGGCUCUGAUGGCAGCAGGAGGUGACUUGGGGGGCAGGGCAGUGGAGAUCCCUUCCCUGCAUCACUGCUGAAGAACGCCAGCAGCACUUCUGUGUGCUGAGCACAGCUCGUCUCCAGCACUGACAAACACCGGGCCAUUACCAGCCGUCCUGUCGCUGACAUGGCAGGCACUUCUUCAUUCUUUAAGGUGUGGAUUUCUGCCUAGACCUGCUGUACCUGUUCAGGUGCUGAAGUACCAUUAUCUAAUGAUAUACCACGGGCUGUUUGCAGUGUUUUAUUUGUUUUUGUUUUAAUUUGAAGUUAUGGAGAGCUGCCCUUUGAACUGUCCUCACCCUCCUGUCGAUUUGUGCAUUGAAGGGAAUUUCAGCUCUGGGCCACGUGGCACCAAGAGAACACCUGCAAUUAAUAACACUGCGUUCAGAAACCUGCACAGAGCAACAAGCACUUGGAUGGCUCGUGUUCUAACCCCCCACCUUCCCACAGGAUGCAAUGACAAUUACUGUGAAUGCCUCACAAGUGGCUGCAACAUGUGCUAAACCAACCGGCUGCUGGCAGGUGCUCUUCCUUGCUCUGAACAUUGUGUGAAAAUGCUAAAAGCCCCACCUAUUCUUCAGAGGAAAACCUCACUCACUUACACUCUCACUCAAUUGCCUCCAUGGCAACUGCACACAAGUGGGCACAGCUCACAGGUGCUUCCCGGUGCGGUGCCAGAUAGCCAGCAGCACUGGCACAAGUGGGAGCGUUUGCAUUUAGCCGUGUGCUGCAUCCCACUAUGCUGACAGCUGCUAUUUGCUCAAGCUGUUUUCCUUCAUGAGGGUUCCCCUGUUGCAGAUUGAUGAAUUGGAAGCCUUUUCUUCGAUGACAUUCAAGUUAAAUUCCUCUUUAGUAUCAGUCCAUCACAGGGAAGCACCAAAUGCUGCCUCACACGGCUCUUACAGUGAAACCUACCAAUGAAACUUUGUCCUGAGCAAUGGAGAAAUGGUUUCCAGAUGCAAAAACAGUAACUGAAUCACCAAUUGCCACUCAAGUUUUGUUACAUGGUUACCGAUCAGCUAUCAAAGGGCCUUACUUCCUGAGAAACAACUCCAGCAGUCUGCAGAUACAGAGAAAACUGUAUCUGAACAGUUCAGAAAUGUUUGCUACCCCUAAAAAUGAUGUUUCAGAACACCUUGUAAUAAAUCAAAAAACCUUUA